CAGUCGCCGCGGGAAUACGGAGGGAGCUAGCGUUAUUCGGAAUUACCGGGCGUAAAGCGCACGUAGGCGGCUUUGUAAGUUAGAGGUGAAAGCCUGGAGCUCAACUCCAGAAUUGCCUUUAAGACUGCAUCGCUUGAAUCCAGGAGAGGUGAGUGGAAUUCCGAGUGUAGAGGUGAAAUUCGUAGAUAUUCGGAAGAACACCAGUGGCGAAGGCGGCUCACUGGACUGGUAUUGACGCUGAGGUGCGAAAGCGUGGGGAGCAAACAGGAUUAGAUACCCCAGUAGUCCCUGUCUCUUAUAC
rnacentral:rRNA from 1 species